rnacentral:tRNA from 1 species
AUUUGAGUAGCUUAAAUUAGAGCGUAAUAUUGAAGAUAUUAAGGUAAUGUUAAUUCUUAAAUA